CAGAUAGAUAAUAAAUAUCAUAUUUGUAAAAUAUAGUAGUAUUUAAUAAUAGUAAAAUAGCAGUAAUAACUAUUACAAUAAAUGAUAACAAUAAGUUAUCAUCAUCCGGUAAGAAGCCUUGGCAGAUGGUUUGCCGUGGGCUCAAACACUACAACUAGUGCUUCCUGAUUUCCUCUGUACCUGCCCUAGCAAUAGUCAAGUUAGGAGGGGGCGGGGCCAGGCUCAGAGGGGGCGGAGCCAGCCUGCUGGAGCACAAAUGCUCUGUCCGCCAUUGUUUUUCCUCGCAUUUUCGUACUAAUAUUCAAUGGCCAAAGGUCCCGCUGUAGAUUAUUUUAAAGACAGCAAGUUCUUCAGUACAGUCUGAUAUUCGUGGUUAGUUGUAUGAAUGCCGAAGAGUUACGCCGUUUGGAGGAGGACGAGGCUGCCUGUAAGAAACCGGCACCUGCAGCAGACAGCAGAGAGCCCAAAGACGGCUUCAGGCAAAGCCACAGGGUGGAUGCAUUGUGUCAGGACACACACAAUGGAGCAAAGAGUUUCCAGGAGCUCCUCUGAGUCUCCACCAGUCCCCCAUCCUCUCCCUUUCCCAACCUCUACCUGCUCCACUCCUCAUCCACCCACUGCUAAUAAAGCCCUGCUAGUUUUCACCCUGUGGCUCCAGGCUCAGUUUACUGGUCCAACCCUGUAGUUCAAGUAAACCUUUGGUCUGACUCCAGAUUUCAAAUUGUGGUGUAUAUCCCUUUAAAUGUAGAGUGGGUGAUGUGUGGCUCCCACUGUGAAGCAACCUUCAUGCUGACACAAAGCUGUCAACAAAAGGUGAUUCUGGGUUAUUUCAUAUGCUCUUGUUUACUACAUAUUGCUGUGUUUAUUCCAUCAUUACUUCAAUAUCUUCAGUUUUAAUGUACAAUGUUAAAAAUAAAAAAGAAACACAGGAGAUAAACA
rnacentral:lncRNA from 1 species